rnacentral:ncRNA from 19 species
CGGCGGAAAAAUUACCCAGGUGCUCGUUUGAGCUCAAUAGGGAAUCCCGUGUGAAUCGGGAACGGGCCCGCCGCUGUGACCGGGGACGAAAGCCGCUUAUGAUGUCACUGUCCUGUUUUUUGGGGAUGGGAAGACGCGGCCGGUAGGAUGAACCGGAAGUCAGAAGACCUGCCUGGGUAAUCGGAGCCACC